ensembl:lncRNA
GGACGCGCAUGCGCAGCUCCGCUGCCCCGCAGAGCGCAGCAUGGAGGAACUGGAAAAAGAUUCAAAGUACUUGACUCAUCUGACCUGAAAAGUGAAAACCAGUCAGCACACAGUGUACUGCACAGCAGUAUCAAGGGACGUAUGUAGCUGGGUAUAUUUUGGCCUUGGACUGGCAAAAUCUCUACUCUUGCCAAACAAGUCAUGGCACUUUUAUCAUCUGCGUGAAACUUGCAAGACAGCAAAUGUGCUGAACGGUGUGAGACAAAGUGUCUUUUGCUCAUCCUGGUAAUGCCAGCACGCCUGCAGACCGUGCCCACAUCUGUACAGAGCAGGCACUUCUUGCUGCUUGGAGUUAGGUGAAAGGAAAGGGAAAAGAUGUGUGUUGCCUCUGGUUUGGCUUUUUUUUUUCCCUCCCUGCAGUGCAAGCCCUUGCUAUCAACAGGACCAGAUUCAGCCAUCAGUUAUUACUUGAACAAUUCCUACUGACCAGGAUCGAUCAAGAGGGGUUUUCUCACAUAUGCAGUCUGCAGGAAUCUUCCUCAGUAAGAACUCAGGAGGAGCACGACUGGCUUGGAAAAAGAACCUCAGGACAUCUUCCCUUCCCCCACAUCCCCACCUCCUGGGAAUAGAUGCAGAUCUGCUGCGACAGGGACUGAAGCAGCAGCCACAGAUCCUGCACUUUUCAUGUGCAACGCGGUGAAGUCACAGGGACUGGCUGCUGUGGCUCCUGGGAGAGAGGCUGAGUCAUGAUCUGUGCUACCUCUGCACCCAGGGAGUGCGGAGGAUGCUUCUGAGGAUGCAGAUGAUGCGCUGCUUUCCUGUGGCUGGAGUUCAAGGUGUGCUGGUGGUUUGUCCAGAGCUGAAGUGAAUCAUACCCUUUUAGAAUGAAAUGGAAAAUGAGGUAACAGCCACGAUUGCAGCUAUGAAAGUAACAGUGCUAUAAAUCAGGCAAAAGGCAGAUUCUGGAUCCAGUGGGUCACCAAGAGCUUGGAUCUUCCAGUGCUGGCAUGCGGUUCUGAGGUCCUCCCUUGUGUCUUGUGGAUGGCGUGGUGAGCACAGCAAACAAAGGCUGAACAUCCCACCUGUGUGGCAGAAUUUCUGAAGAAGUACGUCGCGGAUGAAGGCACGCACAGAUGGUGCAGGCUGCAGCACAGUCCUGUUGGCUGUACGUUGUCCAGGCAGUGUUGCUCUUGAGAACAGAUCAGCCCAGGCCUUCUGACCAUGUGUGCUGCUGGGCACUGCCAGGAGGAUGCACUGCUGGCUUCAUCGGGUUGCUCUCUCAGUGCCUGGGCUAUGCAGGAACAGUAGGCAGUGCAGAGUUGGGGCUUUUGGCAGUGCACGAUGUGACUAUAUGCUGCAGCUGAGGCCACAGAACCUGUACCACAGAAUAGAGUUGCAGGAAGACUCCAUAACUUCCCUGUCAAGACAUGCUCAGUGCAGGAAGAUCCAAGAACACCAUCAUCAUGAAAAGGUUUUUCUGAGCCGUAAUUGCUUCUGGUAGCCCAUGUAGACAAAUACUGAAUACCACCAAUACUUUUCCAUGAAGAAGCACCCCCCACUGAACCACAGCACAGACAGCAUCGCGCAGGACUACACCACUACGGUGGUUAUGUAAUCUUUGCUUGAAUCCAGACUGUCUUCAUCGACUUUAAAAUGUGUCUGCAAUCUCUCUUUACCAGCAUAUGGCUCUCGGCAGGUGUUUUGCCUGAAGAGUUAUACAGCAGUGAGCUGUCUGAGGGUAAUCAAGCCAAAGCUCAUCAUAUGGUUUCAGUAGAAAUCUGUUCCUGAUAGUUUAAAUAUUUUCCAGCUUUAAUUAAUUAAGUUGAACUGCCUUUACUCACCCCUAUUUAACAUACCCCCGUUAUAAUUUAAUUGCAGAUUUACUUUCUUUCCAUGACCACUAAAUAGCAGUUGGUUUUAUGAGCCUUGUUUUAAUCCCACACUGAUGAAAGUCCAUUAGACAAUAAAAUCUGACUUCAUUU